UCUAUAUCUUCCCCCAUGCGCAUAGUGUCAUCCUGUGCAAUCAAGUCAGACAUUCUAGCUAAUUAUUUGAAUUUAAUCCAAUAUUUUACAUUCCAGCGGAAAUGCAAUGUUGACAAGGAAAGGAAAACAAGUAAAACCAGAGGUAGCGGAAGCUACCCCAAUAAACCAAUUGGGGCAAACCAGUUAGGCUUGGGUCAUCAUGUAUCUGCAAUGACUGACACAUGCAUUACACUCAACUCAACUGUAUUCAUAGAGCACUUUAAAACAACCACCACUGUAUAUAGAGUAUAAAUGGAGCAAAAAUAACUCACAAAAACAGGUUGAUCAAAGUCAGUUUUUUUUGCUUCAGUAAGGGUUGCACCGCUGCAUAUUUCAAUUGUUGGGGAACUACACCAGAAGACAGACUGCUGUUGAUAAUGGCCAAGACCUAUUUACCAAAACCUGGGAGAAAACCCUUCGAAUUGAACAGAGUACUAAGGGAGGCCAAAUGGCUAAGUCUAGCAAACCACCUCCUCUAAAAUUAAUGUCAAGGAAACAUUUCAAAAGAAUUUAACACUGCUGAACAUGGAACAUGGAUGGAGGGGUCAAAGGUGGUGUUUGAAACAAGAGUGCAAGCUGUAGAAACCUUAUCAGUGAAAAACUGCAGGAGUUUUAGGGGAAGAGUCGAAGUAAAUAGGAUAAGGGGGUUUAAGUACAGAAUCAAUAGUUUUGCAUAUUACACGUUGGUUGUGACGGUUACCCCGAAUUAUGUUCGAUAAAUGUUCUUUUUUGGCCUCUUUAACUGCGAUCUGGUAAUAACGGCAACAGUAUUUCAGGAUUUGAUAAGAGAUCUGCAGCUCGUCUUUUUUCCACGUAAAUUCAGCUUUGCGGCACUCCUGUUUAGCUGCGCUAAGUUGAGUUCUGUCAUUAAACCAAGGCUCGGGUCGAGCUUUUGACUGUACUUUUUGUAAUGGAGCCACCGAAUCCAGUGCAGCACAGCAGGAUGAGUAGAACCAGGAAGUAACUUUCUCCAUGUUUGAAGAGGAAACACAAAGCUCAUUAAAGGCAUCUGAGAACCGACCAGCAGGGAAAGGGUCGAAACUCUGGAAGUGGGUGGACGCCAGCAGAUUUAACGGCAGCACAAGAAAAGACGACAUCAAAGAAAAUCGUCAUGUGGUUGAAAUAACAUUAUCCAAGACUUUCAAGUUUGGUAUCAGUCGACCAUUAAAGAAGAAGUAAGUCUAAAGUAUGUCCAUGUUCAUGUUGGGCAAACAUGUAAUUACUAAUUUAAGACUACCAUGUGUAUUUUUACUCCGAAAGUAGUCUUUCACAUCUCGAUUAAAUAAAAGUAAUUUAAUCAAGUGUCACUUUUUCCCCUGAGUUUUCAACCUACAACCAAAUUAAAAU